UAGGCAGCAGUGGGGAAUAUUGGACAAUGGGCGAAAGCCUGAUCCAGCAAUGCCGCGUGAGUGAUGAAGGCCUUAGGGUUGUAAAGCUCUUUUACCAGGGAUGAUAAUGACGGUACCUGGAGAAUAAGCUCCGGCUAACUCCGUGCCAGCAGCCGCGGUAAUACGGAGGGAGCUAGCGUUGUUCGGAAUUACUGGGCGUAAGCGCGCGUAGGCGGCUACUCAAGUCAGAUGUUGAAGCCCGGGGCUCACCCCCGGAACUGCCUUUGAAACUAGGUAGCUA
rnacentral:rRNA from 1 species